AUAAAAUACAAAUAGGAGUUUUGAUACAAUUUACAAUUAAAUUUUCUUAAUAGUACGACUAAUGUAGAUAAACAAAGCUUUAUACAUUUGAAUAUUGGAUAAUAUAUCUUCCAAUUGGCGGGGAAUACUUUCAAUGUUACUAUUUACACAUGUACCACUAUCACAUAAAUCGUUCGCUAAUAAUAAACGGUCAAUUCCAAACGCAGGGCACCGAAGUACGAUAUGAUCCAAAUCAGCAUUUGCUUGAUUACAGUAUUGUCCCAUGUACAAGUGAAGGAGCAGUGACUACAUUAGAUGAGACUGGUUCUAUGUCCAGAGGACUCAAUUCGAGUUGUUUGUGAAGAAUGCUAUUGUUUAAGGAUACUAUUUUCAAAUAAAAUCUUUGGGCCAACUGUAAUCUACGCAAAACCAGAGGAGGAGAGACACAGUAUGAUGAUGGUUGCACAUUUAUCUCAAGAAAAGUUGGAAGGUGGUAACUACCCAUUGGGUCAUCAUGAACAUACCAAUUGCAAAGAUGAGCAAUAGAAGAACUAGUAAGAGCCAAAUCUAAUGCAGCAGCCUGUCUACCAGGAUAAGGGACCGUUGUUGUAGAUCCAUCAUUUAAAAUGCAUAAAUCACAAUCAUCUAUAAGGUUAAACAAGCAUUUACCCCUAUUGUUGUCAUAAUUAGAUCCAAAAGCCAUGUGAUGAGCAUUAAAAUCACCCAUUAUAACACAAGGCCUUGGUAAGGAAUUUAUAAGUCUCUUCAAUUUUAAAUCAUCAAA
rnacentral:lncRNA from 1 species